rnacentral:rRNA from 1 species
UACCGCAAUGGGCGAAAGCCUGACGGAGCAACGCCGCGUGAGUGAUGAAGGUCUUCGGAUCGUAAAACUCUGUUAUUAGGGAAGAACAUAUGUGUAAGUAACUGUGCACAUCUUGACGGUACCUAAUCAGAAAGCCACGGCUAACUACGUGCCAGCAGCCGCGGUAAUACGUAGGUGGCAAGCGUUAUCCGGAAUUAUUGGGCGUAAAGCGCGCGUAGGCGGUUUUUUAAGUCUGAUGUGAAAGCCCACGGCUCAACCGUGGAGGGUCAUUGGAAACUGGAAAACUUGAGUGCAGAAGAGGAAAGUGGAAUUCCMUGUGUAGCGGUGAAAUGCGCAGAGAUAUGGAGGAACACCAGUGGCGAAGGCGACUUUCUGGUCUGUAACUGACGCUGAUGUGCGAAAGCGUGGGGAUCAAACAGGAUUAGAUACCCC